AUGGGGUCUGACUGGAGCAUGACAGAGAGGAAGUUCAAGUGCGCCACAAGUUAAAGUGAAGCCAUGAUUCUAAUGAAAGACUAAUGUGGUCUACUGAAUAAAUCGGAAGAUGCUGGUCAGAGGCUCCUGGGUCGGGGUACGGUGGGGACCCGGUUUGGGAUGGUAAGGGUCUGUGGAGAGAGUACCUGCAGUGACUGCAGCUUGAAAGGGGCUCUCCUUGGAGGAACAGGCACCACGCAGAGAACUGAACACAGCAGCCAGUGAACUUGUUUGGAAGAUCAUCAACGCGAUGGCUGGAGCCCCAGCUGCCACACUGGACUGUGAAGUGACUUGGAAGAUGGGAGCUAUGUAAGGAUGGGGGAACAAAAAGAUAGAGGAAACCGGAGCCUGGAUGACACCAUAACUCCCAUACCAGCCAGAUUCCAACUUCCUUUACAGGACAGAGAAAUAGGUUUCUGUCUUGUUGAAGUCUCUGUUAUUUCCUCAUUCAGCUGAGACAGCACACGCCUGGGGAUCUUGGGAAGGCUUUGAUUGAAGAGUGAGAAAUUGUGCCGUGUUGUAGAAUUGUGCACCUGAAACCUGUAGAAUUUUGUUAACCAGGGUCACUCCAACAAGUUUAAUAAAAAGGAAAAAAGAGUGAAAAAUUGG